UAAGGCGAUGGGGCGACAGGUUCCCAGCGAUGGGAUCAAAAGGGAACCCGGAAAGCCUGGCACCGCCAGGCAGGCCGGGGCUGCCCCCGCAACUGUGACCAGCGAGAAUCGCCCCUCGCGCGCCACUGGGCUCUUUCCCGAGCCUGGGAAGGCCGGGCGAUCCGACGACCUGGGAGCCAGGAGACCUGCCCGUCGCGGUCGGUCCUU
rnacentral:ncRNA from 2 species